UGAGUAACACGUGAGUGACCUGCCUUUUAGACUGGAACAUCUUACCGAAAGGUGAGCUAAUGCCGGAUGAGGUAUAUAAGUGCAUGUUUAUAUAGGAAAAGUUGGGGAGACCUGACGCUGAAAGAUGGACUCGCGUCCCAUUAGCUAGUUGGUAGGGUAAUGGCCUACCAAGGCGACGAUGGGUAGCCGGCCUGAGAGGGUGGCCGGCCACACUGGGACUGAGACACGGCCCAGACUCCUACGGGAGGCAGCAG
rnacentral:rRNA from 1 species